rnacentral:rRNA from 1 species
AUUGAACGCUGGCGGCAGGCUUAACACAUGCAAGUCGAACGAGUGGCGGACGGGUGUGUAAUGCUUGGGAAUCUAGCUUAUGGAGGGGGAUAACUACGGGAACCUGUAGCUAAUACCGCGUACCAUAGGAUGAGCCCAAGUGGGAUUAGGUAGUUGGGUAGGUAAAGGUUCACAAAGCCGACGAUCUCUAGCUGGUCUGAGAGGAUGACCAGCCACACUGUGACUGAGACACGGCCCAGAAUCCUACGGGAGGCAGCAGUGGGGAAUAUUGCGCAAUGGGGGCAACCUGACGCAGCCAGGCCGCGUGAAUGAAGAAGGCCUGCGGGUUGUAAAGUUCUUUCGGUAGCGAGGCGUUAACAACAGAAGAAGCACCGGCUAACUCCGUGCCAGCAGUCGCGGUAAUAC